rnacentral:rRNA from 1 species
GCGUAGAUAUUGGGAAGAACACCAGUGGCGAAAGCGCUCGACUGGGCCUGCACUGACACUGAGGGACGAAAGCUAGGGGAGCGAAAGGGAUUAGAUACCCCUGUAGUCCUAGCCGUAAACGAUGGAUACUAGGUGUUGCUCGUCAUCGACCCGAGCAGUGCCGUAGCCAACGCGUUAAGUAUCCCGCCUGGGGAGUACGCUCGCAAGAGUGAAACUCAAAGGAAUUGGCGGGGGCCCGCACAAGCGGUGGAGUAUGUGGUUUAAUUCGAUGCAACGCGAAGAACCUUACCAGGGCUUGACAUGUCCGGAACCUUGCCGAAAGGUGAGGGUGCCUACGGGAACCGGAGCACAGGUGGUGCAUGGCUGUCGUCAGCUCGUGUCGUGAGAUGUUGGGUUAAGUCCCGCAACGAGCGCAACCCACGUUCUUAGUUGCCAGCAUUCAGUUGGGCACUCUAGGGAGACUGCCGGUGACAAACCGGAGGAAGGUGUGGAUGACGUCAAGUCAGCAUGCCCCUUACGUCCUGGGCUACACACGUACUACAAUGCUGUGGACAAAGGGCAGCCAGCCGGCGACGGUGAGCUAAUCCCAUAAACCACGGCACAGUUCAGAUUGCAGGCUGCAACUCGCCUGCAUGAAGGAGGAAUCGCUAGUAAUCGCAGGUCAGCAUACUGCGGUGAAUACGUUCCCGGGCCUUGUGCACACCGCCCGUCACACCAUGGGAGUUGGUUUUGCCCGAAGUCGUUACUCCAACCUGCGGGGGGGGACGC